rnacentral:rRNA from 1 species
GACGAACGCUGGCGGCGUGCUUAACACAUGCAAGUCGAACGGAAAGGCCCUUCGGGGUACUCGAGUGGCGAACGGGUGAGUAACACGUGGGUGAUCUGCCCUGCACUUUGGGAUAAGCCUGGGAAACUGGGUCUAAUACCGAAUAGGACCACGCGCUUCAUGGUGUGUGGUGGAAAGCUUUUGCGGUGUGGGAUGGGCCCGCGGCCUAUCAGCUUGUUGGUGGGGUAAUGGCCUACCAAGGCGACGACGGGUAGCCGGCCUGAGAGGGUGACCGGCCACACUGGGACUGAGAUACGGCCCAGACUGCUACGGGAGGCAGCAGUGGGGAAUAUUGCACAAUGGGCGCAAGCCUGAUGCAGCGACGCCGCGUGAGGGAUGACGGCCUUCGGGUUGUAAACCUCUUUCACCAGGGACGAAGCGUAAGUGACGGUACCUGGAGAAGAAGCACCGGCCAACUACGUG